AAACUCAAAUUAGUUGGAAGUAAGAAGAAGAUAGCAUGAUUCGCUUCAAUAUUUGCAACAGUUGUUCCAGCAUAUUUCAGCCAAUAAGGAAAUAAGUAAAAUGUGCGUGUGCAACAGGCGCACAGAGAGAGAGAGAGAGAGAGAGAGAG